GGGAGUGAUGGUCUUGUUGUGAUGGAAUGACUGAUGGGGAGUGAUGGUCUUGUUGUGAUGGUAUGACUGAUGGGGAGUGAUGUUCUUGUUGUGACGGUAUGACUGAUGGGGAGUGAUGGUCUUCUUGUGACGGUAUGACUGAUGGGGAGUGAUGGUUGUGAUGGUAUGGCUGAUGGGGAGUGAUGCUUGUGAUGGUAUGACUGAUGGGGAGUGAUGGUUGUGAUGGUAUGACUGAUGGGGAGUGAUGGUUGUGAUGGUAUGACUGACGGGGAGUGAUGGUUGUGAUGGUAUGGCUGAUGGGGAGUGAUGGUUGUGAUGGUAUGGCUGAUGGGGAGUGAUGGUUGUGAUGGUAUGACUGAUGGGGAAUGAUGGUUGUGAUGGUAUGACUGAUGGGGAGUGAUGGUUGUGAUGGUAUGACUGAUGGGGAGUGAUGGUUGUGAUGGUAUGGCUGGUAUGUUAGUGUGGACAUGUUCUUCUGUGUCAGAUUCCCGUUAGUGAUAACGUUCAUUCAUCUCUGACCUCACUUUACAGGAAUUCGGCCUUGCCCGGUUCAAGACCAGUGUUACAAAGACCAUGAAAGGGUUUGAAUACGUCCUGGCCAAAAUGCAAGGUGAGGCCCCCUCCAGGACCCUGGCUGAGCAUGCUACAGAGAGGGCCAGGGAGACGGCUCUGGCAGCUAAAGAGAAAGCUAAAGACCUGGCCUCACAGGCUCACAAGAAACAACAGUAUGUCUGAGCUGCCAGUGUAGGGUGACGUUGCCCUGAUAUGUUUAGGAUUGGCGGAGGGGAAGCUGAUCAUAGAAACUUAGAAACCCAGAAUGCGAGUUGCCAGUGGGAGGAAGUAGACAUUGGCCCCUGUCAGUCCUGCCUUGAUUCAAAGACUAUUUCAAAUUCAUUUCAAAUACUUUAUCUGGGAUCGAUUGAGCAUGCCUGGCUGGCACAAUGGAACCACUCCGGGCAGGCUCGAGCAAUAGCGAAAUGUUUUUUUUAAACAAUGUUGAAUAGUAUUUGAACCCAGGUCUGGUUGUCCCUAACCAGACCUGGGAUCAGAUCUUAUUGAGCCCCCUAAAGGUUAGAUUGAGGUAGGGGAAUCUGAUCCUAGAUCUGUGGUUAGGGAUGCAAAACUCCGUUAACUAAAAUUACCAGGUUUUCCAGAACUUGAAAGAUUACCGUAAGAAGGAAAUCCGGAAUCCUCUAACCAGGGUUUCUGGAAAAACUGGUAAUUUUGUGACUCGAGGUGUGACAGUGAUCUAGGGGAUGAACCAUUACAGUUAAAGCCAGUUUAUGCUGAAUCUGAUAAAGUGGUGGAAACCAUAUGGAGGGUGCGAUGCAAUGGAGGCUCCGGAGGCAUGCAGAGGCCAAAUCAAGCUCCAUACCGCAUUGCUGUGCACCUCUCAAAUGUAACAAUGUGGAGGGCUCCGUAUAGCUCCGCAUUGACAUGAUUGGUUGAUGGUAGGUGAGGGCGGGAGGUCCUGUAUAAACACAAACUCACUUCCUCGACAACUUCCUUCACAACAGCUCCGGGAAGCCCAAAAAGUAUGUUUGCUCUGACUUCUGCAGAGGCUGCAUUACAGUAAAACGCUGUACUGCCGCAUUACAGUAAAACGCUGUACUGCCGCAUUACAGUAAAACGCUGUACUGCCGCGACACGGUAAUACGCUGUACUGCCGCGACACGGUAAUACGCUGUACUGCCGCGACACGGUAAUACGCUGUACUGCCGCGACACAGUAAUACGCUGUACUGCUGCAUUACAGUAAAACGCUGUACUGCCGCAUUACAGUAAAACGCUGUACUGCCGCAUUACAGUAAAACGCUGUACUGCCGCAUUACAGUAAAACGCUGUACUGCCGCAACACAGUAAUACGCUGUACUGCCGCAACACAGUAAUACGCUGUACUGCCGCAACACAGUAAUACGCUGUACUGCCGCAACACAGUAAUACGCUGUACUGCCGCAACACAGUGAAACGCUGUACUGCCGCAACACAGUAAUACGCUGUACUGCCGCAACACAGUGAAACGCUGUACUGCCGCAACACAGUAAUACGCUGUACUGCCGCAACACAGUAAUACGCUGUACUGCCGCAACACAGUAAUACGCUGUACUGCCGCAACACAGUAAAACGCUGUACUGCCACUGCAGACAUCGGAUUGACCAUGCAGCACCUUUUUAGACUCUGUCUUCUAACACAAGUGUCUGGGCUGGGUCUCAACAGUCCUCACUAGCUUCCUUUCCUUGUCUCCUUUCCUUCAGUACAGUACUCUAACAGGGAGGUGAAAGCGCUGGGCUAGUUUCCAUUUUACUUCCUCCACCUGUCAUGGUGUUAUCAGUUAGUGUGUAGAUGCUUAUCUGAAUGAGACAAACCUGCAGAAAUGAAAGGUUACAUAUUAGUAGCAGAAAGUGAAAGGAGAUGAGAAAUGGAACCCAAUGAGGCUAAACGCUAUAGAAGUGGUGACUGUACCUCAGAGAAUAUAAACGGAGUCACGAGAUUGAUCUUGUUGGAGGUAUCGGGGACAGGACAACACCAGUCCCAGCCAGCAGGUGGUCUACUGUGUACGGUCGGUGUUGGUCGGUCUUGUCCUUUAUGGUAACUAGCUAGUACAAGAGACUGGUUCAUGUCUCCAGAAAUGACUGUGUGACUCGAGUUGUUUUUGUGAUUCUACUGAAUACUGGCGUAGUCGUAGGGGGACGAGGGAGUUCCACACAGUUGGGUGAAGCUGUUCCCUAGACGCUGACAUUGAGUCGGUCUUUAGCAUUUUCCCAAUAAUGGCUAAGGUUAGGAUUGGUAGAGGGGAAGCUGAUCCUAGAUCUGUAGGCCUAACCAUCAUUCCCUCCAACUCUGUGGGCUGAGUCCUAAAUGGCUCCCUAUAUAGUGUACUACUUUUAACCAGAGACUUAUGGACUCUUUUUAACCUCUUGUGCACUUGUGUCUUCUCCGUUACAGGAAGCAUUUCUCCUGUCUGUUGUAAUUCCUUUUACCUUCAUAUAGUUUUGUUUCUCACACUGUUGAUGAGACUGACUACAUUAUCUUCAGUUACUGUAGAUUUAGGCUUAACGAUUUGUAAAUAUUUAUCUUUUUUAAAAUCAUCUUUUGUUUUCUGCUAACUAGACUACUCAAAAAAAGCCAAUCUCAAAAGAAAUCUCACUGAAUCUUGAUUCUUCGCUACAGGUUAAUUGAUUUCAGUUAUGGCGCUACAUUUAAUUUGUUUUGAUUCAGAAUGAUAAUUCAUUGCUUCAAAUUGAAGUUGUUACUAGUGUGAUGAGGGGGGGGUGGUCCAUGUUAUUUUGCAGUCGUUACUUGAAAGUGAUCCGCCUUGGCUAGAGGGAGAGGGCUGCUACUUGGCUAGAGGGAGAGGGCUGCUACUUGGCUAGAGGGAGAGGGCUGCUACUUGGCUAGAGGGAGAGGGCUGCUACUUGGCUAGAGGGAGAGGGCUGCUACUUGGCUAGAGGGAGAGGGCUGCUACUUGGCUCUCUCUUGACAUUGUGAAAAGACAGGAUUGCUGUGGAUAUCAAUGUCUGUAUGUGUGCUUGAAGAAAUUAGCUUCAGAAAAUGAGCCAAAUUUGCUAAAAAUAAAUGGUAUAAUUACACUUAAA